rnacentral:rRNA from 1 species
AUUGAACGCUGGCGGCAUGCCUUACACAUGCAAGUCGAACGGUAACAGGUUAAGCUGACGAGUGGCGAACGGGUGAGUAAUAUAUCGGAACGUGCCCAGUCGUGGGGGAUAACUGCUCGAAAGAGCAGCUAAUACCGCAUACGACCUGAGGGUGAAAGCGGGGGAUCGCAAGACCUCGCGCGAUUGGAGCGGCCGAUAUCAGAUUAGGUAGUUGGUGGGGUAAAGGCCCACCAAGCCAACGAUCUGUAGCUGGUCUGAGAGGACGACCAGCCACACUGGGACUGAGACACGGCCCAGACUCCUACGGGAGGCAGCAGUGGGGAAUUUUGGACAAUGGGCGCAAGCCUGAUCCAGCCAUGCCGCGUGCGGGAAGAAGGCCUUCGGGUUGUAAACCGCUUUUGUCAGGGAAGAAAAGGUUCUGGUUAAUACCUGGGACUCAUGACGGUACCUGAAGAAUAAGCACCGGCUAACUACGUGCCAGCAGCCGCGGUAAUACGUAGGGUGCAAGCGUUAAUCGGAAUUACUGGGCGUAAAGCGUGCGCAGGCGGUUAUGCAAGACAGAGGUGAAAUCCCCGGGCUCAACCUGGGAACUGCCUUUGUGACUGCAUGGCUAGAGUACGGUAGAGGGGGAUGGAAUUCCGCGUGUAGCAGUGAAAUGCGUAGAUAUGCGGAGGAACACCGAUGGCGAAGGCAAUCCCCUGGACCUGUACUGACGCUCAUGCACGAAAGCGUGGGGAGCAAACAGG